AAAUUUAAUGAUGAGAAUGAAUUACCGGUUGAAAUGCAUGAAAAUAAACCAGCGGCAAACUUUAUAUCUGAAUGUUUGAUUGAGCAAAGUGUUUUUUCUAGGUCUGAAAGCAAUUAACAUGCUCUCCUGGUCUUUCAGAUUCGUUAUAUGAAGAUAGAGAUGCAAGUUUAUUGUGGCUUCCACAGUGCAGUGGUAAUCCUCGCACCCUAUGCAAAAGUUCGGCAUAAAACCAGAUCAUAGCAGAUCUGAAAUGGGUAGCAUGGUUAACCCAAUGGUGACGGGUGAAGAAGAAGAAGAAGAAAAACAAAAAAACUACGCUCUGGUAAAAAAUGGCUGCGCUGGCUUUGAGUGAACGAGUUUGGUACAUUAGCCCAAAUCACUGGCUCGCCACGCUUUGGCACACCGCAGCAGCGUACAGCCGCACGCCAGCUUUUGAGCGGUUUGUUUUCACGCCUAUCGGCGUCACCCAUCAGGAAGAGGUUAAUGGAUCUCAUGCUGUAAACUUUGUCUUGAAAGAAUUUUUCAUUGUCAUUUAAGAUAUGGAAGAUAAAAAAUGCAAGUUUAUUGUGGGUCCACCUGUAAGCCUUGCACCUGUGUGAGAGUUUGCAUCCUGCCCAAAGGUUCCAAGGGUAAAAGGAAAGGCAUCCACUUUUAUGCAACUCUCCUGUCAAACCUAAGUCAUUGAGGGAGAGUUCUUGACAUGAAACCAGAUCACAGCAGCUCUAAAAUGGGCAGUCCUUUCAAGUGAUCUUGUGCUGAAAUCUCACUAAAGAAAUCCAGUUUCAUUGUCAUUAAAGAUAUUUUACAGUAAAAGGGAGGGCAUCAAAGCCCAAGUCUUUAGAGGAAGAGUUGGUGACAUGAAACCAAAUCAUAGCAGCUCUACAAUGGGCAGUCUUUUCAAGUGAUCUUGUGCUGAAAUCUCACUAAAGAAAUCCAGUUUCAUUGUCAUUAAAGGCGUGCUAAAAGAACAGUCCUGCCAGUUGUACUAAGAUCCAGUUUAUCUCCCAGGGGUGAGGAUACUUUUUACAUACCCUGAGAGACUGCAUCCUAGGGCAAAGAAAACUGGGCUACACCACCUUCCUUUUGUUUUAUUUGGUUUAGUAAUGUUUUUACGAUUAUUAAAAUUUCUCUUAAA